AAUGGCAAACAAACAAGCUGUCUUGCUACAAAUAGAUUGGCUUCCCGAAAAAAAAUGUGCUCCACUUCACUCCCGAAUCUCUGAAAGACGUGACCAGCAAUCAGGAAUAAUGUUGCUAAGAUCAUGAUUCCCAUAUAGCUUGACAUUCUCAGCGUUUACCCGGACUAUUGUGCUAGACCCUUUAGGUUCGAAUCCAUUUGGUUCUCUGACCCCUCUCUUUUCGGUCUUGCUGAUCAGCGUUGGAGAGGUAAUAACCUUAAGUUUUCAUGCCUUUGACCGCUUUGGUAAUAUCUUUUUUCUGAAAAGAAACGCGUGGCCGCUAGAUUGCUAGGCACCCAAAAAGCCAUUGAGAACAACCCGUGUUGUUUUCUUUCCAAGCUUGAGCAAUCCUUCACUCGGGAGUACAAUCACUUGCUCCGCCUUGAGGAAGAUUUUUGGGCUCUUAAAUCACGCUUCAAUUGGGUAACUGAGGGUGACCGCAAUACUAAGUUCUUCCACCCAACCACUGUCUCUCGCCGGCGGAGUAAUAAGAUUUAUGAUCUUAAGGAUUAUGAGGUGGUGUGGCACUACGGGGGAGACAUGGUUAAGGGCUUGCUUACUGUUUAUUUUGGUAAAGCUGUUCACCACUCAAGAUUAUAGUGUUUAUCUCUACAGCUCUUGCACUUCGCCGUUUCCCAGGCCAGUUAGCUAGUGAGCUGCAAAAUAACCUUUGCAUUACUCCCUCUUGUACUGAAAUCCUCUCUGCCCUUAAAACCUUGGAAAGCUCCCAGUCCGGACGGGUUCCAUCCGGCCUUCUUUCAAAAAUGUUGGUCAUCCGUUGGUGACUCUGUUUCUAAACCUGAUUACUCACAUUUUUCAUGUGGGUCAGAUUCCUACGGGCCUUAACAAAACUCUGCUUUGCCUCAACCCUACGAUUCAUCGCCUCAAGAUGUUGAUCAUCUCCGCCCGAUCAGUCUUUGUUCCACUGUUUAGAAAUUGGUCACUAAUAUCUUGCUUCUCCAUUUACGCACUUAUUCGAAUGACCUCAUCAGGCCUUUGCAAGCCAGUUUCAUCCCGGGUUGAAGGGGUGUGGAUACGUCGUCUCAAACUCUGAAACACAAGCAGUCGAGCCAGAACUAAUGACUUUGAUGAAAAACAGGUUAUGGGUUGAGAACGGGAAUUGAACUCUAAGGAUAUGUUGUCUCCUCACCCAUUGUUACAUAAAACUAAAGAGAGUUAUCGCAGAAAAGAACGUACAACAUACAACCCAAAUACCCAAUCUCACAUUAUUCAGCCAAUUAAACAGCCCCUAGAGUUUUGUUUCUGGUCAGGGCGUAAGAGUUUAGACCUUUGUUUCUGCAUUUCCAUUUCCAGUAGUAAAAUGAAACACUAUCCAGUAAAAUGAAACACUAUCCAGAAUGAAACCAUGCGCUCAAGUAUCAAGAAGUGGAAACUUAAAACCCCUACAUUCCAUGUCCCAAAUGUUCUAUACAUUUCUAAACGAGAACCGACACCGAACAAGUUUGGGUUACUACCUCCAGCACACUACACUACCCGAGGAGGAAACCGGAAACAAAGAAGAAAUAGACAUUGGAUUAGUACAUUCAGGCACCCUUUUCAGGAAACAACAAACAAUCUCUCCCACUUCAAAUGAGGUCUGUCAUAAAUCUCAGGAGAAGCAGCAAGAAUGAGUCCAGGAUCGUGUUAG